ensembl:lncRNA
CCCGUUUUCUAAAAUAAUAAACUCAUGGGGCGAUGUUAUCAGAAAACACAGCAUCCAUUGUUAUGCAGACGAUAUGGUAUCUGUCGUUUGGUAUAAACGCACCAUAACGCCGUAUCACUGGCCAUCCCCCAACUACACGCAGCUUGUCAACCGACCAUCUGACCAUAGUUAGCAGUGGAAAAAGAAUAGAUUUAUACUUCAUGGUAAAUAGUGAGAAAUGUAAAUAAGUGAGAAAUGUACCUUUCUAAGUUAGUAACGUUACAAACAUUGAGAAUAAAUACAAAGAAACUGAACUUGCUUGCUUUUGUUUUGUGGUGUGAUAAACUAUCUAUACAUUUCAUUUAGUUUUUAGGGAGCCACGAGAAAGCAGCAUCAAGCUGAAGGAGAACAUUGUGUGUGGUGACAUUCAGCUACUCAAGCUUGGACAUAUUUUCUAAUGUCCUAAGGUUACUGUUAAAAUAGCUUGUAUGUGCAAGAAUUUUUUUUUAGAAAAGUCUACAAGUUAAUACAAGUUAAUAAAUGUGUUUGCUUCUGAGGUUUUUAUUGAGUGCAUUGUUUGAUUUCCUAUUUUUUAAGAUUAAACUAUUACUUUUAGUUAAAAGUGUGUCCGAUUUGGAUUACUUUAACCGGAAAAUGUUUUUCUCUCAGCCUGAAAUAUAUCAUGUUCUUGAGAUGAGGCAUAUCUUAAAUUUACGGAAAUAAGAAGAUUUGUUUUUUGGGUGUUAAGGCUUGUACUGUCAAGAGUAGCAGGUUGCUAGGAAACGAAAGCGGCAGAGAAAAAGCUAAUAAGGCAAACAAGUUCUUUUGUAGGCCAGACGUCCCGUUUCAGGCUUGGUUCUAUGCGGCCAUUAGAGGACCCAGCUCAGCUCAACUGCAAAAGCUGGGUCCUCUGGAGGAUGAAGCCCACCAAUUGAGACAUAGCUAGAGAGUUCCUAGGGCCGGGUGUUCAUGAUAAAGUUCGACAUAAGGAUGGAGUCUUGCUCUUUUAGCCACAGUGUUAGCGCCUGUGGAUGCAGAGGCAUUAGCGCGGGCAGCAGGGAAGGGACAGUUCUUCUUCUUGGAUGUAUUUACCAAGGAAAAGGAGAGGAGCCACAGGAGGAAUAAGAGCUUGAUGUUUAAUGUUGACAACGUAAAGUGAAUAAGUUCUUAAGAGGUUUGCCAUCCGUAUGGUCUGUGGAUCAGUGAGCAGUAUGUAAAGGAACUUCCUGGAGGUGAAAGUGGGCUAGGAUUGGUGUGUGGCGAAUGGAUGAUUGAAGCGAUGAUUCAAUUGCCGGACUGUCAGCUGGUUUCAGCUGCCUGUGUAGUAAAUGUUUAGCUGUUUUUGUAGGAAAAUGCACAAAUAACGUUUGGUACAAUAUAAUGUGAGGAUGUGUUGUUUAUAAGAAAGCAUCUUAUUGUUCUUUGUAGACGCUUCCACAGUUCAUCCUACAGCAAUUCUUUUCCUUACCUUCCCUUGUAAAAAUGUUCCGUUUGUCUUUUGUGUAUAUGCAUUUAUUCUUAAAAACAUGAAUAAUACUGAAUACUGACGGAAGAAACAAUAACUUGGCAAUUCACCAGUUUAAUCCCGAUGAAACAAGCCUUCUCACUGGCAUCCUGAGCAUCUUUCCCUCAGUUUUCACACUAGAGUUGAACCAACAGGCAAAGGUGGUGAUAUGAGCCCCGAUGACAUAUGGAUGCAUGAGGGGAAGAGAGCGUGUGUGAGGCUUUUAGAUCCAACAUGAGCUAUUCUGGGUGUUCUCCAUGCUGUUUUUGCUGAGUCCUCACUCCCACCCUUUUGAGGUGAGAGCCAAUAAAUGAGGGAGAGAAAGGGAAAGAAAACAAGCCAGGCAGGGAUAACGCUGUUACAUAAUCUACUGCUGCUGCAUGACACGUUUGGUCACCCUCCCCGUCACUACUCAGUACAGCACCAAGAGGUGUGUGCAUAGUGUCGAGUGAGUGAAAAACAGAGAGGGGUAGUGCUGAGAGGGUUGUCUGCUGUCCAGCUGCACCAGUGGGUGAGCAGAGGGAAAUGUCACUUUUAAUUAUGCCUGUAUCCAAUCAAUACAAGGAGCGAAGGGACAUUUCUCCACUCUGAAUACUCAUGUCUUUUUUGUGGCUUAACUUUCUUAUGCAUUCAAUGUGCAAUCUUUUAAAAAGGAGGUUUUAAUUCAUUUUAGGAUACACAACGGCAUAUGUUUGCAAAAAACCCAGUGGAUGUUCAAAUACAUAACUUGUUUUAUGUAUUUACCAAAACAUUGGUCUACCGUGGCGCAUGAAGUAGAGAGAGUGCACAUACACAUACAUUCUUCUUCUUCUAAAGAUAAGACAGUGGACAAUUUUAGAUGGCUGUUAGUUGUAGCAGCGUUUAAGUCUCUUGCCCAGUCAAGCGUUUAAAGCUUGACUGGGCAUGAGAGUCUCUGGGUCAAAUAAUCAGUUCAAAAGAUGAGCAACUGUGUAAGAAAAUUAACUGUUUCUUUGAUGAAAGAUCAAAGAUACAACUCAGUGAACAUAAAAGAUUCACACCUGGUUUGGACAGUUCCCGCAGCAGCCAAGGGGUUGUAUCAGAUACAUCGAUCAGUGGCCCUAUACAUGACACUAUGAUGCUCUAUGUGGUGUAAGUUAUCGCAGGAGUAAAGAAGGAACUCAAUGAAAAGGUCAAAGGGAGAUUUGGGGGACAGUUGGGUCAAAAACACCAAAACCAAACCAAAAAACUGUUGCAGUUGGUGAGCAGAAACCGCCUUGAGUGUAGAGUGUCAUCGUUUUUAGGGUAUCAUGAGAUGACCAUGACACCUUCAUAUUGGGCGGAGUGGUUGCUGAGUUAAACAUGACUCAAAGAAACAGAGCAAAUCCUAUCAACACACAGUGAGUCUGGGCAGAAGAUAUAUUUGCGUGUUUGUGUUGAUAUUCACUGUAUUGUUUAACUGCCAACCUCAGUUACUUGCUGUUACCAAUACACAUCUACACCCACACAUAUAGAUUUGGUUUUAACUGCGCGGAACACUUGUGGUGAUCAAAUACAUCCUCCUAGCAACUCCUUCCCCAUUUCGUAGCCACAUGUGGACUGCCAUUGGGUAGUUAGCAUAGUUUCCAGCUGCCACUUUCUCAUUCAUAUCUCCCCCCUCGUUCCCCAUCUCCUUACCUCUAAGUCGCACAUUCACCUUGUGAUAAAGGACUGGAGGCGGAGCCUCGUGUUUGGAAUAAAAUCUUCACUUCCUAACUCUUAAUGAAUGAGUAUUAAUUGUUAAUUAUGUUUGUGCAUUAGUCCCUGUUAACUCAGGGUGGUGCCCUGUUAUUUAGUAAUUUUUUGAAUGGUCUUAGUGAUUAUUAAUAAUCAUUAUUAUGAUUUAGUUUCACACUAGCUAUUAACCAGACAUGCCCCUACACCGAUCCCAACAGUUGGCAGUAAUUGAGGUAGCGGUGUGUUUGAGCUAACAAUGGAAACAGUACAAUGCACUACACGCUAUCGAAAUGAAAGGCAUCUCUUGUUGAAUAAUAGCAAGUGAAAGAAUAAUUUGAGCGACACUCUGUGCUCAUCAUGAAAAUAGAUUCUGUCACUCUGUCAUCUUUUCAUUUCUCUUUUUAAUACUCCUUUUAACUCCCUCUUUUUUGGUUCUUUCAAUCUUCCAGCUCUCAAUUUCUAUCCGUUCUCUGGGUGAUUGAGGUGUAGAAGUAGCAAAGUCAGAAAGACAUCCUUGAAUUCUUUAUGGGACCAACAUCCGCCUCUGACUCACUGCAUUUCCACAUUGCCACCGCAGGAUUCAAAAAGCUUUUAUAAACAGUACAUCUUCACUUUUUAUUUUGCCCAAUGUCUAAAUAACAUCACAGCUGUUAGCAAGUGAUUUCAUUCCCUUUUAAAGCAAUAUACCACAGAUGUUAGACUCAAGGCCCGCUGGAUAUCUUUGCUAUCGUUAUAGUUACAGAAAGACAUAAAUUGCAUUUCUAUAAAAGUAGACGCUAUUCCUAAUCAGUCCACUGGGGGUUGCAUUCUAUAAGUCAGCGCAUGUGUUAGAUCAGGUCCAUGGCCAAGGCAGUGCCAAUAGAUUGCCUGCCAUUGGAAAAAUAAAGUCAGCCGGAGCUAACGGGAAAACUUGUUUGUGCUAAUUAGCGAUACUUGCUUACUAACGGACACCUUUUAUUCAAAAGCAUUUGUGGGCACCCCUGCGUUAGGCCUUUUUGAUCCCGGCGUCACUCCAGGCAUCAGCGCUUGCUUGAAAGUGACAUGGUGAGCCCCUCCCACCCUCGUUGGACCUACGGUCCGCGCACCACCCCCAUCCCGCAAUGAACAAACCAUCUCCUAUGAUUUUACUGGUCUGGCCAACUUGAGAUCAAAGUGGGCAGCAUGUGGCCCUUUACCUUAAAUGAGUUUGACACCCCUUCAAUAUACAUUUGCAGUCCAAUGUACCACUAAAAUUAUCUUGAUAUUAUGUUAUCAUCUCUGUGAGCAAACAGAAUAAACACCUGUCCAGCAACCCCGACGUGUACAUUUUAGGCACAUUCUAUCCCACAUAUGUGAAACUCGCGGCCCGCGGGCCAAAUCCAGCCCGCCACUGGAGUGUGGACAGCCCGCCGAAUGACUUUGCUAUUGUACCGUCCGCGCAACCCCCCACAUCCCCCUGUCGCCCGUACCGUCCACCGAUCGGAUCUUCAGCGCCACCCCUCCCUAUGAUCGAAGUGGGCAGUAUCUGGCCCGAACCUGAAAUGAGUUUGACACCCCUGUUCUAUCCCAUUGUGCCUGGUGAUUCCACUGGUGUUGUCUCAGACAGUGAAAAUGAGCAUGUGUGAUCCUGCUUUUGAUUUACAGAUAGAAAAACGCUGCAUGGACAAAUCAAGUCUUGUCAGUCUGUUGAAACUGGGAGAGACGGAGAGACAAAUUAUUCCGCUGCUGGAGAAACAAAAGAUGCAGUGAGAGCAGUGUUUCCUGCCUCCCAGGCAUUUUGUUGUUUGGGCUCACACCAGGACAAUCAUGGCUUACUGACCCUUAUCCGUUUCCAUGGGGACGGAAAAGCCAUUUUUGCCAUUACUGAGAUUAGAGUCUUAUCUGCUUUUGCUCUAUUUUGGAAUAGCUUAUGCUGACUCCUAUCUGGUGGUCUGCUGCUGGCACUCCAACAGCUAUUAUCACAGCCACAAUAUCUACCUCUUAUAUCACAACCUAUGAAACUACUGUCAAACUUCCAAAGCUGAACUGUAUGACAUUACUAUGGCCGAAUGCUCGCUUGCAGUGGCAGAAUGGGGGCUUGAUAGCUGCUUCGCAGCAUGAAAAUUAAAACUAGAUACUUUGCAAAAACAAGGAAGUUAAAUAUAAAGGACGCCCGUUUUAAUGCUUUAGUGCCAAAGAAUAUAAAAUAAAAAGUAUAUUCCAGCUUUCUCCUAACAGAAAAUCCCUUCUCCUCGAUUGUUUAGGGAGUCUCUAUUCCAAUUACACACUUUUCAUUGGUGAAGAACUGCCAAUUACAUUUUGGCUAAUAGUGUGAAUCUACACGGUCUCAAGGCUGAGACCACCACAUAAAAUCCCUUUCAAACAAAACUUUCCUCAUCAGUAUAUCUGCUGUAUCUAUUCUUUUGUCCAGUGUUUUUCUUUUUUUUAUUUAAAGCCACCACCGGUAGCAUACAAUAUAGAGUGAUGUAUAAUUGUAAAAUUGGUCGAAAUAUUAAUGUUGCUGAAAACAUUUAGAUGGGUACUCAUCCAGAGAUGUAAGAGCCCACAAUUGCAAAAUACUUAACAACCUUUAGUAGAUGUGUGCUGAAAAUAGCACCGAAAAUAGGAUGAAAAUAUAAUUUUCUUCUUUUCUUUAAACAGACAUGAUCUUACGUUAAAUAGAACUGGCCAACUCUUUCCACAACAACACCUCUAACCCAAAGUUCAUAUUAACUUCUGACAUCCAUAAAACAUAUAGCUUUUCUUGAUAGCGCAUGCUGUGUAAAAACUCAACAAAAAAAAAUCAAGAAAUCAGAUUACUUUGUGCCUCAACAGUAAACGCAAGUGGAGCCGGGUGUUGGCUUUCUUUUUUCUCAGAGCUCAAAAUAUUUUGACAGAAUAAACAUGUUAUAGUGCCUGAAAGGGUAUGUUUAUCAAACCUCUCUGACACCUAGUUAUCAACACCAAUGGAAAUGUAACAUAUGGGUAAAAAAUGCAUGCACUCUUAAUUAUUUAGCAAUCAGGAAUGUUGUUGUUAAUAAGUUAGUAUAGUUGCUGUCGAAGUUGAUCAUAUGUGCUCCUCAAUAAAGCAGCUCCAAAUGACCUGCGCUUCACUCUUGCUCCCAUAUCCUUUCUUUGCGGUGUAUAUCAGGCUAUCAUAACACCCCAGGGGUUUGUUUGAAGUAGGAGGUUUAACAAACUCUAAGUUACAAUAUAGUGUUAUCAGUUAAUAUUUAAAGUACAUACUGAUCAUAAUCCAUAUGUUUUACUAAUUCCCAGUGGGAAAACUAGAAAAUGCAUUUCCUGCUGAAAAUGCGCUGGAAUGCUUAAAGCUAAAAGUUAAAAUGAAAAUUUCAAACAUAGCUGGAAAUACGGAAAGCUGAAGGUAAUUUCAAUAUAUUUGCUGACAUUACAGAUAUGAGAAAACUGAAAUUAAUUUGAAAUUGCUGAAAGUACAGAAAUGGGAGAAGCUGAAAGGAAUUUCAAUAGGUUUGCUGAAAAUGCAGAAGUUGCAGGAGCUUAAAUGAAUUAAAAAAUAUACAGAAAUAACAAAAGCUGAGAUGAAUAAAAAUGUUUAAGUUGUUUGUAGUAAUAUUAGUAGUAGUCAUAGUUGUAAUUGUUGUACUAGUAGUACUAGCAGGAGAGGUAGUACAAUUCUGUUUAGUAUCAAUAGCAGUAGAAACACUAGAAGUAUUAGUAGUAGUGUUAGUAUUAGUGUUACAGCUGAUAAUACUAUCAGCCAUAGUAUUUGUAGUAACAUUAGUAAUAGUAGUAUUAAUAGCGGUAGAAAUACUAGUAGUACUUUUUCUUACAGUAGUAAGAGUAGUAAUGUCAGUUGCACAAUUACUAGUUGUAGUAGUUUUGAUAGCAGUACAAAUAAUAGUAGUAGUAGUCAUAGUAGUAUAAUUUGUAAUAGUACUACUAGUUGUAGUAGUAAUAUUUGUAGUUGUUGAAGUAUUAAUAGCCGUAUGAAUAUUAGUAUGUUUUAUAGUAGUAAGAGUAGUACUAUCUGUUGCAGUAUUUUUAGUACUACCACGAGUAGUAGUAUUAACAUGAGUGGAAAUACUAGUAGUAGUUGUGGUGGUGGUAGAAGUAUCAGUUGUUGUAGUAGUACUACUAGAAGCACUCUUAAUAUUAGUAGUGGUUGUAGUAUUAGUGUAGUAGUAUUUGAAAGAGCAAUAGGUAUUUCAACAAAUGCAUUGAAGCAUUCCAACAAUUACAUUUUUUACACUCUGUUAGAAUGCACACAGGCACACAGGCUUGAAAUGCACACCCAUGCUCAUAUUUAAUCACAAGAACAAUACCGCUGGUAUAAACUGGUAAAAUGGUAUUGGACCUAUAAUGUAUUUUAUUCAGGUGCAUCCUGUGGAACUCCUCUUUAAUGGCUUCACUGGUUUGUGUCCAGAGAACAAAAAGGUUUAAAAUAGGUUUCAGAGCGACGCACAUGUUUCUCACGGCUCUGCAUACAGCAGCUUUACUAAUAUUCCAAUGUUGUAAAGGAAACUGCCGUUUGCAGAAAAACAUAAUGCUACACAAAGAAUGUGCUUGGAUGUGAGAACAUGUCCACGAUGUGGGACGUUACUUAUAUGAGGACGGGUGAGGUCGCUUCUUCAUCAACAGGAUCGUCAAGAAAAGGACGUGCCAUGCUAACGUAACAGAGAUCUUAUUUUGUUCGUAUGUGAAAACUGCGUACGUACAGUACAGAGUACAUGAAUGAGGAAAUGAAAACGCGCUGUGUGAUUGGCUGGGCUGCUGUCAGAGGGAGGAGACUGUGAAAGAAACUCAAGGUUUACUGAAGAAAACCUGCCCCCUGAGCAGGUUCGGUUCACAGGCUCAGUUACCAUGGAGACUGGCCCUGAGCUUUAGUUACCUCCCUUUGUGAAGUUUCCCUCAUCUCAGGGUUAACAAACUCUGAGUUUUGGACCCCAGGGGACCCAGAGUGAGUCUACAUGCUCGUUGAGAUGAUCGACAAGUCAUAUGUCACACAUUCGACCACUUUGUUUUCAUCUCACCUGCAAGUCUCCUGUCAUUUCAGAUCCUCCCACAUCAUCAGCUCAUUACCCUCACCUGGUCCUCAUUGCCCUUCCUGCAGCACAUAACCUCGUCAGCCACUCACUAUUUAAGCCUGUAACAUUCUCUUGUUCCCUGCCAGAUUGCCUUGUGCGUUUGCCAAGUUUUUCAGCAUAUCUAAAUUAGCCCGAUAUCCUUCUGUUCUGACCUAGCCUGCCUUUUGAUCAUGAAUUCCCUGCCUGCUGCUGUUUGCCUGUCUGAUUGCCAUCCUGGUUCUAACCCCGCCUGUUUUCGUCUACAGAUUCCCUCCCUGCCCCUCUGGAUUUGUUUGCCUACUGAAGGAUCUCCUGGUUUUGACCUUGCCUGAACUUUUAAUAAAAUCCACCUGUCUUGAGUCUUACUUUUGGGUUCCUUUGUGCACCGGUACCAGUGACUGUUACACCGUAGAAAGAUCCUGACAGCCAAUCAUCUGUCUUCUGUAGCGUCCUGCAUGGCUUCACAUUUCAGGAAGUUGCCAUUUAUUCUGCCCAUAGAGCUGAUUCAUGUUUGGUGUAGACUGUUUUUCUUUUUUUUCUGUGCCCGGACAUUUUGAGGAAAUUGACUGACUGUCAUAGAUGAGCACUACUUUUAUUAAAGGUAAAUCUGCAUUGUUUUAGGCAGUCUAUGCAUGCCCAAGUGUUCAACCAGUUCACCCUGAUUCCAAUUCAGCGUGGAUUACUUGCAGCAGAAUUUUUUUUUAGUCCUCCCCUUAAUCAGCCAGUGUAGAGGGGGAAGUUUCUUAUUAAAAAUGUUUCCAGACUUGGCUUUGUAAGUGUGGAGGAAAUAUAUGAGGAGAGUUAAUGUGAUUUUGGUGGAGCAGAUUGAAAUGUCUUUCAUGGUCACAUUCCUAUAUUAGUCCAGAGCUAAGCCUUAAUAUGUGUUUCUUUUGUGCUUAACCUCAUAAUGUCAAGAGACCCAUAGUCACUUCUGGUAUGGAUAUUCUCUUCCAAUGGCAAAGAAGUUAGCUGCUCUUGUCAUCUAAAGCCGAGUGGAAAGGGAGGGUUAAGGACUGUAACAUGUGGUAAGGAGGAGCAUGAGUGUGAAAAUGGACAUUCUGGGGAUAUUUGAUCCAAUGUAGUUCAGCAGUGCCAAAAACUCAUGCAACGCAACAUUUUUAGAAAGCCAACAUGUCCACAAACAGUCUGCAUUCGAUGACCUUGCUGAUGAACAGUCCUGGCUUUCAGCUGGGGCCAAACAUUAAGGGUAAAUAUGAUCGCCGUCUAAUUCAUAUUCAAUUUCAAUGACCUCCUUGUUGUUGCAACAUGGAGUUCAUUCUGUUUGAAUUUCUUUUUGUGUCUAAUUCCUGACUCUCCUGCCACAAAUACCGUUCUGUUUUCCCUGUGAGUCCUUAUCUUUCUCUACUAAGUCUGUCUCUGUAUGCAGAGCCUGUUCUUGACUCUCCUCACGCUCUGCCGGCCUCCCUCUCAUUCACCGCAUCCCUGUGGUACCGGGAAGAAUAUAGAAGUUCUGAGGGAAACUGCACUCCGGUGGCACUUUCCCUCUUUCUCUCUCCUCCUAGUCCAGGAGAAUCAAAGGAGAUCAGUUCUCUUUGUGGCCCUGUCUUAAACAGGUUUGACACACAGAGGGAAGAAGUCCGUGGGGGGUGCAGGGAUGCUCAUCCGAGAGAAGUAACUCAGAGGGCAACACAGAGAGCGUCAGAUGAAAAAUCCUCUUGAUUGUGGAACCCCCAAGAUAUACCUUUUUAAUAUUGGCUAACUACAGCUUUCUGUUAGAAGCAGUCACUUUAAUCAAUGCUGUUUGACAUCAUAAAAUAUGUCUUCUCUAUCUGCCUGCCACAAAUCUUCAUUCAAGCUACAUGUUUACACAGAAAUAAAUCUUCUAACCCAAGGGUCUAUUUGUUUUUUUUAGCUUCACCCAAAUUCCCAUUUUUUUUUUCAACUGGAUUCAAGACGGUUUGAAGUCUGGUUGCACUCUGAGUGGUUUGGACGGACCUACCAUGAGGACAGAGAGGAUGUUUUUGCUCUAGUUAUUUAUCUAGGUAAUAUAUUUCACUGCGUGUAAACUAGUGUGCCUGUAAACUAAUAGUUUACAGGCACACUAGCGGCGCUGGAAGGCUGUUCUUAGACUAAAGGUUACUUUGGGCUACAUGCUAACAGCAACAUGCUCCAGUUAAAUAUUACCAAUUCUGAUAAUGUUUAAAAUAGAGGUAUAUUUUACCUCCAUGUUUAAUUAUGUGCUAAAGCUUCAACACAACCAAGUACACUUGACGUUAUUGGCAAUGCACGAGGUGAAAAGUCAGGGAUUUACCUAGUUUAUCCUAUGGGGAACGAACACAUCCUUUGGAUACAUGUUGAAAUGUUUCACUUUGGACCAACAGACCAACAUCACCCUUGAAAGUAUAUUGGUGUUGCAAACAAUUUUUUUUUUUUGAGUUUGGACGUAAUGGGCGAGGACUACUCUGGUGAAUGAGCCAGGAGUUUCUAUUUUAUUAAAGAACAACGUCCAAACUCAAAUAAGUUUUUUAAGACCCAAAAAAUAUUUUCUGCUAAAAAUUAUAUUUUCAAGACAAAACCCAAAUCAUUAAUUCUCAGUUCAUAUAUAUAUAAUUUUUCAUUCCAAAAUGUGAUGAUCCAUUUUUUUAUUAUAUUAAUUUACAAGAAUUGACCUUGUUUGUAUGCACACUGCCUGGCUGUCUCUCUAUUCCACUCUGUCACUAUUUCUCCACCCAUCGGUUAGCAUAAGAAAUCAAUAGUCUCUUCAUCAGACAAAUGGAAGGAGAUGGGAGGAAGCUAUAUCAGAAAGCCAAACAGAUAGUCUAAUCGGGAGGGAAGGACAUUUCAGAUCCAAAUCGGUUACAAUGAAUAACAAGGGCACAGCUGAUUCAUAGGGCAUGGCUUGAUUUAAGGCGGAAUAGGUGUGAUUCAACUAACCUGCUGUGCUAAAUUGCUUACUUUUAUUCUGACCCAUAGCUCUGUUGUAACAUUUACUAAUCUGAUCCUGAAGUUGUGAAAAGUGUCAAUGUUGUUAGAGGUUUAGUGCUUAAUAUUUAAGUGUAUUUACCUUAUUAAACAUUGAAUUCAUGAGAAAUAAAACAAAAUCCUUGCUAAAAUGAAUGACACAUACUGAAUGUGCAGCAACACUGUGUAUCCACAGGAUUUAUCAAGGUCCUCAUUGAUUUAUAAAUUCAUCACGGCGUAGCCACCAUUUCUCUUUUGCGAUCCUUUGUCCCCCCCUACACACAAGUAUUUGUUCACAAACCAGAGUCAGCAACGGGGUCCGAGGAUGAGGGCGAGGGCAUGAAGAUGUGGCAUAAUACACAACAAUCUGGCAACAUGUCAGUGUUGGAUUGGGAUUUAAAUGCUAUGGUUAGUAAGUGCAGCAGUUGGCAGUUGAGAGCGAUGAAGAGGGUGUACCUGACAGGCACACUGAAUGAGCUUGAGGCAGAGGGACAAGUUGAGCAGAGGUCUUUAACAGGACAUUUUUCACCCAAUUUUUUUCCACAACUAUAAAUGUCUUCAGAAUCAGAACUAUAUUUAUUGUGCUUAAAAACACAUUAACAUGAAUCCAACAUAAUGUAAAACUGAAAAAAGUUGAAGACCCCUGAAGUAGACUAUAAGAGCGGAGCUGCGACAGUUAUACUUUUAGAAACAGUUUUCUGUGUACUAAAUUUGGAGUAGUACUUUGACUGUUUUUGAGUGAACACUAAGUUUGAGACUAAUAUUGUAGUUUUGUUAUUGGUCACUAAUCUCAGGGUGGUGCCCGAUUACUAUUGAUAUUGUGAUUGAUUUAAUUAUUGAUACAUUGUCAAUAAUUUAGUUGUCAUACUGCUAACCAAAAAGGCUCCUGCUAGAUCCUAACCUCUUUGACUGAAAACGUUGUUCGUUGUUCUUCCUCUGUUCUAUGCAUAGUUGAUAGAACCCGAGCAUAUCUUCAUAGAAUUAUUACAUUCCAGUCAUAGAUUAAGAGAGUUGCUGGUCUCUGUAACCAUUCCUCAUCUUAAUAUUGUCCCUGAGAGGUGAGAGCCCUGAUUUUGUACAAAUACAAAGGUUCAGUCUGACUUUGACCCGUAAAUCGAGUGGGUUUGUUUGCCAUCCUAGUUGUGUGUAAGUUAUGAUUGAUGCUGUGUUCAAAGAGCAUCAAGCAUAGACAAAAGUACUAGGAGAUAUCCCUUUCAAAGCUCGGCAACAACGUCCAGGGGAAACGAGGGGAUUCUUAUCCUUGACAUGUAAAAUAACUCAUCCCUAUAAAUUGUAAAUUCCUUUUCCAACCAGGCGUCUAAGUAAUUUAAUAAUUAAGAUGAAGAAAUCUAAACUUUAGUUUAAUAUACACAAACU